rnacentral:rRNA from 1 species
UACGGGGGGGGCAAGCGUUGUUCGGAAUUACUGGGCGUAAAGGGCUCGUAGGCGGUUUGUCGCGUCGGGAGUGAAAUCCACUGGCUUAACUGGUGGCUUGCUUUCGAUACGGGCAGACUGGAGGUAUGCAGGGGAGAACGGAAUUCCUGGUGUAGCGGUGAAAUGCGCAGAUAUCAGGAGGAACACCGGUGGCGAAGGCGGUUCACUGGGCCUUACCUGACGCUGAGGAGCGAAAGCGUGGGGAGCGAACAGG